rnacentral:rRNA from 1 species
CGGCGGACGGGUGAGUAACACGUGGGUAACCUACCUAUAAGACUGGGACAACUUCGGGAAACCGGAGCUAAUACCGGAUAAGAUAUCGAACCGCAUGGUUCGAUAGUGAAAGANGGUUUUGCUAUCACUUAUAGAUGGACCCGCGCCGUAUUAGCUAGUUGGUGAGGUAACGGCUCACCAAGGCAACGAUACGUAGCCGACCUGAGAGGGUGAUCGGCCACACUGGAACUGAGACACGGUCCAGACUCCUACGGGAGGCAGCAGCC